ensembl:lncRNA
AUGAUGUAUGUUAAAAAACAUUGUAGUAUUCUACAAGUAUUACAAGUAUUCUACAAGUGUGGUAUUCUUUGAUGUCCUUUGAAAUAUCAUUUUACCAUUUUAUGAUGCUGAAUAAAAAACAAAAACAAAAGACAGUCGAUAGCAGUUGAAUACAUUAUCAUGCGUCAAACACGGUCUAGGUAUUAGUUAUACAGAUCAGCAUGAGCAGCGGCCCGCUUCUGUUUUCCCCGUGCCUGUCCUCCCAGGAAAAGCCAGCAAAGCUGCGUGUGGAACAUGUAUCAGUCAUCAUGCUGCUCUGGAACCUCUGCAGGAUUAAAUACAGCGGUCAUACGAGCUCGCUCAAAUGAUUAUUGAUCGUCUUUAGAGCUCCUCUGUAGCGGAGAGAGCCUAUUGUGUUUGACAGGCCUCUCUCAGGGUUUGAUGGGACGCUCAGAGUAUCCGUGUCCCUGGAGGAGCGUGUAACAGGAGAGUAUUGAUCAGAGGUUUUGUGCAGGUUGCAGUGAGAAUGAAUCCUGAGUUUGUUCUCACAGGGUCGGAGCAAGAGAGACGCAGCUGCACGCGGAACAGGAGGAGACGUGUCUUUAAUGAGCCCCAGCCGUUUUGUCUGACACUUAUUGACUGCUCAUUUGUUUUCAGUUUUUUAUAGACAUUCCUGCAUGCUCAGUGCGCUGGCAUUAGUGUGUAGGAAGCUUGCAGUCCCUCACGGGCCAGAGGAACAGUAAAAUCCUCUUCAGCCUGUUUUGUGAUGCAAAUGAUGUUCAGUUCCUGUUGAUGUAAUUGACACUGCUUGUUUUAGUCGGUAAAAGUGUCACCACAACAUGUUCCAGUUUCAUAUUUCAGACUUUUAAAACCAUUUACCAGGUAAACUGCGAGUGGUAGGAGUUGGAAGCGGAUGCAUUUUUAUAGCAGAUAAACACCUGAAAGUGUGAAAUGGCACUGAAGGGCCUGAAACUCACGUUAGUGUGUUUUUCGAAAGGUGAAAGCAGUUUUUUAAAUGUCAAAAUACUUUUCAAUAUCCCAGUUUUACUGUAGAUGAACAGGCUAAAAUCUUAAAGGGAUAGUUCACCGAAAAAAAAGAGAUAUUUUGAAGACUGUCGGUUAGCAAACAGUUGAUGGUAGCCAUUGACUUCCAUAGUAUAUUUUCCCUACUAUGGAAGUCAAUGGCUACCGUCAACUGUUUGCUUACCAACAAUCUUUAAAAUAUCUUCUUUUGUAUUCAACAGAAGAAAGAAAUACAUAUGACAUGAGUGAGUAAAUAAGGGUGAGUAAAUGAUGACAGAUUUUCUUUCUUUCUUUUUUAUUCCUUGACCAAUAUAGUUUAAUUAAAAAACUAAAAAAGUCCCCCAGAUGAUUAAUCACAAUACAUUAAGACAAUUGUUUUGUUUUACAAUUUGCCUGAAAUAUUAUGUAUAAAUAUGCACAUAAGGCAUUAUUACAUGUGCAUUACAUAUAUAUUUCUAGAACAAAAAAUAUGAACACUGGAUAAAACAUGUUAAAUUUUUUUAAUUUGUAAUACACACACACACACACACACACAAACACACACACACACACACAUAUAUAUUUGUAUAAAAUGUUAUAUAAAUUAGGUGGAUGAUAUACUCUGUAAAAACCUUCAAAAAAUAUAGAAGGAAAUAAAACUGUAUUUAUGUCUGUAUAAAAAAAAAACUUAUUCUGAGAAAAUUGCCCUUAAAAGAUACACUGUAAUAUAAAUGAAGUGUAAUAAACACUUUAAUGUGUAUUUUGGAGGUGUUCUUUGCACUAAUCUGAAAGAAGACAUGCUAUGAAAAAAAAGGCCAAAAUCUCAGAAUUUACUAUAAUUACGCUUUUUUUCUGCAAAUUCUUGCCUUUAUAUGCAGAGAAAACUGUAAGCAAACCACUGGUAGGUUACAAACUAUUUUAAUGGAUUUUUUUUUUUUCUCUAUGAAUUUGUGUAUAGAUUCGCAUACAAAAAAGUGUAAUUACUGCGUUUUACCUUUGUGGGGCAGCACUCAACAAAAACCCAUUAGGAUUUUCCCAUUUGUUUGUGGAUUAAUGCUAAAAAUAAACUUUGUUACAACAAACACAAAUUUAUGAUUCUUUCACAUUUAUUUCAUCAAGAUAAUCAUCAAUUUUGAAGCCUAAAUACAAUCAGCAGAAGUACAAAGCUAAAAGCGACUAUGAGUUUACAUGUUCGGUGUGAUGUUGUUUAAUGUCUAACAACCUUCGUAGUCCCGUUUAGUUACUUGUUUGUCAUUUUCAAGACACAUCAAAGCUUAAAACGUCAUGAUUUUGUUGUAGAAUAUAUUUUGAUCUUGACCUUAACCAAAAACUUGAACUGUGAGUCAUUAAUUGGUGCCAUUAAUGGUGCAGAUUUUUUUUUUUAGUUGUCUUACAAUGAUCUGAUUCAAGAUGUCUUUCGGUUUCUUGACAGAAAGAUCACACUAAAUCUAAGAUAAAACUUGCAGCUUGUGACUCACAGAUUCUGCAUUUCCUCCCAGAUGUCUGCAGGAUCUCAUUCAUUUCUAUUCUUCCGUCUCCUCCUCCCCCAGUUUGUUUGUUUUCAGACUCUCUGCUGCCCAGCACAGGAAGUUCAGUAGUUAUGGAUCUAAAAACAUGAUGGGAAUCAAGUGACUAUUUUAACACACUUCCUGACUAACCAAGUCUUUUCCUGUGUGCCGUCAUACCAUGAGUGUUUCAGCUUCCUCUGAUCAUCUCUAAACACUUAUACAGUAACAGUUUUUUGGCCUUCUUGUCUUUAUUGUGACAGAAGAAUGGGAUCUGGACUAAGGGCCGAGGCCACAUGUUUUUUUACUCACUUUUAUUUGAGAAAUUCAUCAAAAUCUGAUAGGGCAAAUAAACACAGUCUCUUGACAACUUGUGAAAAAUGAAAAUUAGAUGUACUCUGAUCAUACGAAAAGGAUUUUUUUUUUUUUUUUUUUUCAAAUUACUUUUAAGGUUAAGUUUAGUGUUGGAUUUUAUGGUUAGCUUUAACCCAGCUAACAAAAAUAUGUUCUAAGAGCAUUUUGCUUAACGUUUAUGAAAAUGUUAUGUUUUCCUAACUGUGAAAACGUCAACGUUUUUAUAUAUAAAAAAAAAUAAAUUCAAAUCCAAUUUUAGAAUUUUGCAAACAUUAUGAGAAUGUUACUUCUGAAUGUUCUCUGAACAUCUAUGAAAACAUUAGAUGAACAUCCAACUAAUAUGUUUCAGAAAAUGUUCCAUUAGCGAUUUAUAAAUAACAUUUUUGUGCUAUCUUUUGAGAACAUUAGUAAAAAACAAAACAGACAUUCUAUCAACAUUACCUGAAGAAUAUUUGUUCAUAACUUUGCCAGAACAUUAGCCAAAAAUCUGAGAACGUUGCUUGCACACACAUUUCGGCAAAAUGAUAUUACGUUGCUUCUUGCAUAUUGUGCAACAAUUUCAAAGUGAAAUAUCCAGUGAGUGGCAUUAAAAGCACAUUCAGCUUAAUCAGAAACAGAUGAAUAUGAAUCUGGGAAUGUUUUGUUAUGUUGGUUGUUGCACUUAUUGUGGCAGUUUGGGAGUGUAAUGUUCAGUGGGUGGCGCUAAAAGGUUAAUGCUGCAUUGCAUCUGAGAUUGACGUACUAUCAACACUAAACCGACCCUAAAUCGAUAAUGUUAAGAAAAGCAAGCAUGAGAUUAAAACAGGUUUGCUUAAGCAAUCAUGCUUCUACAAGUCUAUGAGCUCAUUUAUCGUCACGUAUGUUUCAUGGGACUCAUUAGCACAUCGCCUUGCAUGUGCAGUGCGGUACCAGGGGUGCUACUGAGCAAGUUUACUACACCAGAAACGACAUUCAUAUGGGGCUGGUUAUGCAACACAAACUUCAAAAUAUACACAUUUUCCAUUAUUAAUUCUAAGUUGUGUGAAAAGAAUAAAAGCGUUGCUGUUUUUCUGCCACUAGUGUUAAUUUCAGCUGCAAACCAAAGUGUAUUGUAUAUAUAUUGGUAUGUUUUUUGAGUUUUGCGAAUUUGUAGGUAGAGGCACAUUAUUUCCAGUGAGCCUAUGUUGGCGGUUUUGCCAUCUCAUACAAUUUAUUAUGAAUUUUCAAGAGAAUAGGUUGGUUCAAAUGUUCAAUUGGAAUGUAGCAAAUUAUCAGGUUUAGUCAGGAUGAAGUUAGUUGUACAAGACUACAUAUUACAGCUCACUCAAGACAGUCAGGGAUAUUUACUAAUCUGGCAAAACUGAGCAAAUCCAGGGAGUAGUUCUUCCUCGAAAGUGCCCUAUAAGUGACUCAUAAGUUUCUUGGAAAACCCUUUACUCAUGGCAUGAAGCCAGCCAAUCAGAUUAGAGCUUGCCAGAUCAAGAAAGUGGUUGUUCUUUUUUCUGUUCAGUAUAAGACAGUCAGUGAAAGGCCAGUAGGUAAUCUGAGGAUGAGACUUAAUUUACAUCUUUGAUUGAUUGUAACAUUAUUUAUUUUAUAUGUAUCUAUAUUUAUAAUUCCAGAUGCAGCAAUUCAUGAGGUGAUGUCUGUGAUGUAUGUGUAAAAGUUCACCCUAAAUGACACUGUGCACUGUGAUUAUGUCAAAGUGAAACAGAGAAGGUCUGAUCAUUGAGGGGGUGAAGAAGCCGCAUCAUAAUGAGUCAGUACAGUACUCAUUACUGCACAGCAGCUUCAAAUGUGCGCGGUCAAAUAGCACAGCUUGAUCGCUAUGCCUUCUCUCUGUUGUUUUUUUCUUCAGCUUUAAACCUUUUUGCUUUGUUUUGUUUUUGUUUGAGGAUGAAUUUGCCACGUAAAUCCAACAUGGUCUGAAAAGCAAGCAGAUGAACAGUAUAAGAGAUAUAGUCAAUUAUUUAAAUGUCUACAAAAUAAUCAGUUCACAUAGAGGCCAUGGUCUUCUUUAGCAUUCACUAAUUUUAUCACAAAAACAGGCAACAACAAAGGAAUCUAAGCCACAAUGUGCAUAUUUUCUGUGCUACUAGUUUCAAGUAUAUAUUUUGAAUAAAUGACUGCACAAAGGAGAGGGACAUAUUCUCACUAAUAAUUUGUUUAUUUUGCACAAGACAAUACAUUGUUUGUGCAUUUGAAUUACUUAACGCCUGGUUAGCAUAUCAAUGUGGCGAAUCUGAUGACAGUACUAUUUUUAUUGUAUUCACCUGUCAUUUCUCUAUUAACUAAGCCUGUAUGCCCAUGAUAUAUUGCCUUAGCUAAACUUGUUACAUAAUAGCUCGUGAGUCUUGGAGGUUAGCAAGACGAAUUAACUAUAUUUGCCUUUUGGAUAAUUAGCUGUAAAUUCGAGGCACAGGUAGCUUAGUUUUUUCACCACUCACCUCCACACCAAGCCAAACACAACUGGAAAGGGAGCGAGGGUUUCACUUCUGCGGAUCUCUGCCUGACUGUGAUGUGCUGAUCAAUGUGUGCUUCAUUGUUUUGCUGCACGGAGAGGAGAACGACAUCGGAACUCGACAGAGUCUCAACAUUUCCCGACCCAACCUGAUAUUUAGAUUUUUUAUUAGUUUGACAGGGAAACAGUAAAACACAUACACACACACACACACACACACACA